rnacentral:rRNA from 1 species
ACGCUGGCGGCGUGCUUAACACAUGCAAGUCGAACGGAAAGGCCCGCUUGCGGGUACCCGAGUGGCGAACGGGUGAGUAACACGUGGGCAACCUGCCCUCAGCUUUGGGAUAACUCCCGGAAACGGGUGCUAAUACCGAAUAUUGACUUCUGGUCGCAUGGCUGGUGGUUGAAAGUUUUUCGGCUGAGGAUGGGCCCGCGGCCUAUCAGCUUGUUGGUGGGGUAAUGGCCUACCAAGGCGACGACGGGUAGCCGGCCUGAGAGGGCGACCGGCCACACUGGAACUGAGACACGGUCCAGACUCCUACGGGAGGCAGCAGUGGGGAAUAUUGCGCAAUGGGCGAAAGCCUGACGCAGCGACGCCGCGUGAGGGAUGACGGCCUUCGGGUUGUAAACCUCUUUCAGCAGGGACGAAGAGUGAUUGACGGUACCUGCAGAAGAAGCACCGGCCAACUACGUGCCAGCAGCCGCGGUAAUACGUAGGGUGCAAGCGUUGUCCGGAAUUAUUGGGCGUAAAGAGCUCGUAGGCGGUCUGUCACGUCGAAUGUGAAAAUCCGGGGCUCAACUCCGGACCUGCAUUCGAUACGGGCAGACUAGAGUUCGGUAGGGGAGACUGGAAUUCCUGGUGUAGCGGUGAAAUGCGCAGAUAUCAGGAGGAACACCGGUGGCGAAGGCGGGUCUCUGGGCCGAUACUGACGCUGAGGAGCGAAAGCGUGGGGAGCAACC